AAAUAAAAAAACUAAUUGAAUCAGAAAAAACACUAGAAUUAAUCAUCUCCACAAAUAACUUAUGCCCCAGUUGGGCGUGUCACUGUCAAACUUGUAGUCAUAUCCCAUAAACAUUUCUUUUUCACAUUUUCUAGAUUGAAAAAAAAAUCUUUGAACAGAUAAUAUCCCACUGUAAAUCAUCAAUCUCUGUGGCUUCAAGAUUAAGACCUUUUUUCUACAGUGUGUCUCUGAAUAAUCAAAGCAUAUAUGUUAGAAAGAAACUACUGAGGGAGUAGGACCUCCCAGAAGACAAAGGAAAGAGGAGAAAGUUUUAUCAGAUUUCAACUGUUUAUAUAGCCUUAGCAAAAUGAAUCUUACUUCCCUAAAAAAUCUUAUUUGCAAAAUAAUAAAAUACUGCUAAUUUUCCUAAUUGCACAGUACUAAAAUAAUACUAAAUAUAAUCAUUGGUUAUUUUCGAACUAAUAUAAUCCUUGCACCAAGCUGGAGGUUGCGACUCGCUUUGUUGUUACAUGUUCCCAACAAAAUAUGGGGAAAGAGGAAUGUCACAUGGAGAAAUGAAGGAUGGAGAAGAAGUGAAAAUGACUUCUUGGGUUAUGGGUCUCAACACCCUCAAGAUUUAACCUUUCAACCUCCAUCCUCUGGAUUUUGUUGUGAAAGAGCCUAUGGUGAUUGGUCAUGAGUGUGCUGGGAUCAUAGAGAAGGUGGGAAGUGAAGUGAGGACUUCAGUGCCAGGUGAUCGUGUUGGCCUCAAACCGGGGAUAAGCUGCUGGCGAAGCAAUCAGUGCAAAGAAGGUCGAUACAGUCUAUGUCCUGAGAUGAAGCUCUUUGCAACCCCAUCAGUUCAUGGUUCUUGUCAACCAGGUUAACAAAAAUGCUACAUUGCUAACUAGAAUCUAACGGAGUCGGUGCUUGGAAAUUUAUUAUGCCCUUAUGAAUUGUGCAUUUAGCAAUUAGAAAUAUGGUAGAAAAUCAUUUGAAAGGUUACAAUGUGUGUAUAGUUUUGUCAAUAGACAUGGUCUUCAGAACAAACCGGUUAGUUUAAUUAUGUUUUUCUAAUUUGACCUUUAUAAAAGGUAGCAUAGUUUUGGAUAAA